rnacentral:rRNA from 1 species
CUGUCUGAGAGGACGACCAGCCACACUGGAACUGAGACACGGUCCAGACUCCUACGGGAGGCAGCAGUGGGGAAUUUUGGACAAUGGGCGAAAGCCUGAUCCAGCAAUGCCGCGUGAGUGAAGAAGGCCUUCGGGUUGUAAAGCUCUUUUGUCAGGGAAGAAACGGUGAGAGCUAAUAUCUCUUGCUAAUGACGGUACCUGAAGAAUAA